UACGUAGGAUGCAAGCGUUGUCCGGAAUUAUUGGGCGUAAAGAGUUCGUAGGCGGUUCGUUAAGUCAGAGGUUAAAGACUGGGGCUCAACCCCAGGAGUGCCUUUGAUACUGGCGGGCUUGAGGACGGCAGAGGAAAGUGGAAUUCCAAGUGUAGCGGUGAAAUGCGUAGAUAUUUGGAGGAACACCAGUGGCGAAAGCGACUUUCUGGGCCGUUACUGACGCUGAGGAACGAAAGCGUGGGGAGCAAACAGG
rnacentral:rRNA from 1 species